rnacentral:rRNA from 1 species
UACAGAGACGGCAAGCGUUGCUCGGAUUCAUUGGGCGUAAAGGGUGCGUAGGCGGUCGGGUAAGUCUGAUGUGAAAACUCACAGCCUAACUGUGACUGGUCAUUGGAAACUGCCCGGCUCGAGGACUGGAGGGGAGACUGGAAUAGCUGGUGUAGCGGUGAAAUGCGUAGAGAUCAGCUAGAACACCGGUGGCGAAGGCGGGUCUCUGGACAGUUCCUGACGCUGAGGAACGAAAGCCAGGGGAGCAAACGGG